UACGUAGGGUGCAAGCGUUGUCCGGAAUUAUUGGGCGUAAAGAGCUCGUAGGCGGUUUGUCGCGUCUGCUGUGAAAAUCCAGGGCUUAACCCUGGACCUGCAGUGGGUACGGGCAGACUUGAGUACUGCAGGGGAGACUGGAAUUCCUGGUGUAGCGGUGAAAUGCGCAGAUAUCAGGAGGAACACCGGUGGCGAAGGCGGGUCUCUGGGCAGUAACUGACGCUGAGGAGCGAAAGCGUGGGUAGCGAACAGG
rnacentral:rRNA from 1 species